GGCCUUGACAUACUAAGAACUUUCCAGAGAUGGAUUGGUGCCUUCGGGAACUUAGAUACAGGUGCUGCAUGGCUGUCGUCAGCUCGUGUCGUGAGAUGUUGGGUUAAGUCCCGNAACGAGCGCAACCCUUUUCCUUAUUUUGCUAGCGGGUCAUGCCGGGAACUUUAAGGAUACUGCCAGUGACAAACUGGAGGAAGGCGGGGACGACGUCAAGUCAUCAUGGCCCUUACGGCCAGGGCUACACACGUGCUACAAUGGUCGGUACAAAGGGUUGCUACCUCGCGAGAGGAUGCUAAUCUCAAAAAGCCGAUCGUAGUCCGGAUCGCAGUCUGCAACUCGACUGCGUGAAGUCGGAAUCGCUAGUAAUCGCGGAUCAGAAUGCCGCGGUGAAUACGUUCCCGGGCCUUGUACACACCGCCCGUCACACCAUGGGAGUUUGUUGCACCAGAAGUAGGUAGUCUAACCGCAAGGAGGACGCUUACCACGGUGUGGCCGAUGACUGGGGUGAAGUCGUAACAAGGUAAGCGUAGAUGA
rnacentral:rRNA from 1 species